rnacentral:lncRNA from 1 species
GAGAUCCAUUUUAUUUGAUGAUAAAUGAACUUGACCAUUCUCUUUCUUGAUCUUGCCAUUUUGCUGCUGAAUAUUUUCACCUUGGUUAUUGUAUAUCCAGAAAUAAGUGUCAUCAUUGUUAUUUGAUUAUGAAUGAACUUGUUCAUUCUCUUUAGGUGUUUUGUGAUAACCAUUUUCUCCUUGAUCAUAAAUCCAGAAAAACACAUUAGUCUUUUGGACAACUUCAUUGUUUACUUCAGCCAUUUUCCUAGCUUCAGGUCCAUAAGUAACCUUUAUAUAAUGAGGUGAGCAGCCAAAUUUGAAUCAGAGUUUACAUAAGAAGUGCAAUGAACAUACUUGAAAUAGCAUUUAAGAAUGAGAAGAAUAGAUUGAGAUUUACCAACAGAACCAAGAGAUUCAGGGAGAAAAUACAAGCACCAAGCUUAAGAUCCAUUGUUUUUACUUUUGUUUGAG